AGUGUGACGUACACAAAUCGUGACAUACCAUGUCUGUGUAUCAUUAAUGGACCUGAUAUCAUAUACAUUCAAAGAAAUAGCUGACUAAAUAGUAACCACAUCUUAACUAUACCAUAACUAGUGACAUUCCAUAAACAGCUGCCCUGCAUCAUUGAAUGGAGUGGGUGU